GGACGCUUACCGUCCACCAGCGAUUGUGUUAAGCACGCAUUUACUUCGUUGAGUCAACAUGUAUUUAUUGAGCGCUUCGUACAUAGCGUGCUAGAUUGGUGGACAGCAAAGAGGUGUUCAAGCUGGCAGUCAGCUAGAAGAUACAGCAAAUGUAUGAAGGGUCACCCAUUCCUAGAAGAGAUGCAUGAGACCACUCCAGAGUCUGCACCUUGGGAGGAAUGAGCGAUGUCACCUGGCUGGAGAUUCACUUCCCCACUAUUUCUGAGAAUCUGGGGAUUACGUCCAUUUUCCACAAAUCCAUCCAGAUGGAAGCUAACAUCUGUGUGACCAGGCUGCUAGCUCUCCUGCUGAUCUGUCUGCUGCUGCAUUCUGCUCCUCUUUACUCAAGCAAAGACCCAGACUGCAUGCAGUUCCUCAAAGCACACCUAAUACCAGAAGGUUCAGCUUCAGGAAUUUUACCAAAGCCUUCCUGAUAGCAUCCUCAUCAUUUUCAUCAUUAGUUCCUCUCAGAGAAGCCUAUGGGCUAGGUUCUGUCAACAUAUUCCUUUGGCACGUAAGGACUCAGAGGUUCAGAGACAUUGAAGAACUUUCCUAAGGUCGCUCAGCUAAUGGGUAGGAGAGCAGGGCCCAAAGCAUUUCCUAAAGUUUGGCUAGUAUCCAUGGUGGAACCAGAGCUCAUUUAAGCUAUUUCACACAAAGGCAUUGAGUAACUGAACCUCAUAGUGAGAGUUAUUGUAUUUUAGGUUACGUUCCAUGCCUUCUGAUUAAAUCGAGGAAAGCCUCAA